rnacentral:rRNA from 1 species
GUGUCAGCAGCCGCGGUAAUACGUAGGGUGCGAGCGUUAAUCGGAUUUACUGGGCGUAAAGCGCGCGUAGGUGGUUAAUUAAGUCAAAUGUGAAAUCCCCGAGCUUAACUUGGGAAUUGCAUUCGAUACUGGUUAGCUAGAGUAUGGGAGAGGAUGGUAGAAUUCCAGGUGUAGCGGUGAAAUGCGUAGAGAUCUGGAGGAAUACCGAUGGCGAAGGCAGCCAUCUGGCCUAAUACUGACACUGAGGUGCGAAAGCAUGGGGAGCAAACAGGAAUAGAAACCCGAGUAGUCC